rnacentral:rRNA from 1 species
UGGGGGAUAUUGGACAAUGGGGGCAACCCUGAUCCAGCGACGCCGCGUGAGGGAAGAAGGUUUUCGGAUUGUAAACCUCUGUUGACGGAGAAAAAAUGAUGGUAUCCGUUUAGAAAGCCACGGCUAACUACGUGCCAGCAGCCGCGGUAAUACGUAGGUGGCAAGCGUUGUCCGGAAUUACUGGGUGUAAAGGGAGUGUAGGCGGGAUUUUAAGUCAGAAGUGAAAAUUACGGGCUCAACUCGUAACCUGCUUUUGAACUGAAAUUCUUGAGUGAAGUAGAGACAAGCGGAAUUCCUAGUGUAGCGGUGAAAUGCGU